rnacentral:tRNA from 1 species
CGAGAUAUAACUUAAUGGUAGAGUAGUUCACUUCUAAUGAAUUUGUAUGGUUCGACUCCGCAUCUUCUUUU